GGGGGGGUGGGGAAGCUUUAUGCAGAGCCCCCUCCCUGGCUUUCCACCACAUGGGAACACAACAAGGAAGAAACCCGAGAGAGGGGCUCACCCCACCUCGACCCUGCCGGCACCCUCAUCUCAGACAUCUGGUCUCCAGAACUGGGGGAAAUCAUUUGCGUUGUUCAUACACCACCCCUCGCCUGUGGUAUUCGUUAGAGCCUCCUGAAGUGACUAAGACAAGAGUUACCCGUCCUAGGAUGUCGCAGCUUACGUGGGUCUGGGCAGAAUCCUGCACUCACUCCUGUCGGACUGGUUUGGAUGGCUCCAUGUCACCGGGCCUGCGCUCCCAAGAACAGGAUCAUGAACACCUCACAGCGACUUCUCUCUCUGGCACAGCUGAACCAAUGUCACUUUCCCGGGACCACGGCCGCUGUGCUGCGGGCAGAAGCAGGGCACCGUGUGAGGGGCUGUACCUUCCUUGACCCAUCUCCUCGAGCUCUGGAAAAAAUCCUUUUUUUUUUUUUUUUUUUGGAAAAAUUCUU
rnacentral:lncRNA from 1 species